rnacentral:rRNA from 1 species
UACAGAGGUCUCAAGCGUUGUUCGGAUUCAUUGGGCGUAAAGGGUGCGUAGGCGGCGCGGUAAGUCGGGUGUGAAAUCUUGGAGCUUAACUCCGAAAACUGCAUUUCGAUACUGCCGUGCUUGAGGGACUGGAGAGGAGACUGGAAAUUUUACGGUGUAGCGGUGAAAAUGCGUAGAUAUCGUAAGGAAAGACCAGUGGCGAAGGCGGGGUCUCUGGACA